rnacentral:rRNA from 1 species
UACGUAGGGUGCGAGCGUUGUCCGGAAUCAUUGGGCGUAAAGAGCGCGUAGGCGGCCCUGUAAGUCCGCUGUGAAAGUCAAGGGCUCAACCCUUGAAUGCCGGUGGAUACUGCAGGGCUAGAGUCCGGAAGAGGCGAGUGGAAUUCCGGGUGUAGUGGUGGAAUGCGUAGAGAUCCGGAGGAACACCAGUGGCGAAGGCGGCUGCCUGGGCCUGGCCUGACGCUGAGGCGCGAAAGCGUGGGGAGCGAUCCGG